rnacentral:piRNA from 1 species
UGGGUGCCCGUGGGAGCAGCCGA